CCGACCUUGGCUCAGUUGGUAGAGCAGAAGAAUGUAGUAUGUGACAGCAAAUUUUUAGGUCGUUGGUUCAAUUACGGCAUGUCGGA
rfam:Brassica napus, WGS project CCCW01000000 data, contig: 17084